UUUCAGGACAACAAAGAAUGGUGACAUGGAGAUUACUCGUCUAAUAUAUUUUGGGAAGAAGUAUUUGCAUUGGAUAGUCCUGACAACAUUUGGAUACAUGACUUAUACAUUCCCUUGCUCCUGUUGCGGUGUACUCGAUUUGCUCAUCAAACUAUCCUGCAAGAACCUGCUGCGUUACUAGUGAAACACAUUGAUGAAAUACAUCGCCCCAAUUCUGAGAUGCAUGAGCGUGUCAUUGGACUACCAUGGUGAGCAGGCAAAGAGUGUAAUGAUAGUCUUGGGAGGGAGAGGGGGCAGAACUAGGUGUGGAUUUUCAAGUAGUUAUCAAUCUUGGGCCAUUCAUGCAGUUGCUUCGAUUGUACCAUGC